CAGCAGCCGCGGUAAUACGAAGGGGGCUAGCGUUGUUCGGAAUUACUGGGCGUAAAGGGCGCGUAGGCGGUUCGUUAAGACAGAUGUGAAAUCCCCGGGCUUAACCUGGGAACUGCAUUUGUGACUGGCGAGCUAGAGUAUGGCAGAGGGGGGUAGAAUUCCACGUGUAGCAGUGAAAUGCGUAGAGAUGUGGAGGAAUACCGAUGGCGAAGGCAGCCCCCUGGGCCAAUACUGACGCUCAUGCACGAAAGCGUGGGGAGCAAACAGGAUUAGAUACCCCCGUAGUCCCUGUCUCUUAUAC
rnacentral:rRNA from 1 species